UAUAGAGCUUGAGAUCGAGAGAGAGACGUGGAAUUCCCGGUGUAGUGGUGGAAUGCGUAGAGAUCGAGAGGAACAUCAGUGGCGAAGGCGACGUCCUGGCCCGCACCUGACGCUCAGACGCGAAAGCGUGGGUAGCGAACGGGAUUAGAUACCCCGGUAGUCCACGCUGUAAACGGUGGAUACUAAGUGUUGGUGGCUAUCGUCAUCAGUGCCGUAGCUAACGCGUUAAGUAUCCCGCCUGGGGACUACGGCCGCAAGGCUAAAACUUAAAGGAAUUGACGGGGGCCCGCACAAGCAGCGGAGCGUGUGGUUUAAUUCGAGGCUACACGAAGAACCUUACCUGGACUUGACAUACACGUAGUAGUGAAGCGAAAGCGGAACGACCCUUCGGGGAGCGUGAACAGGUGCUGCAUGGCUGUCGUCAGCUCGUGCCGUGAGGUGUUGGGUUAAGUCCCGCAACGAGCGCAACCCUUGCCGUUAGUUACAAGUGUCUAACGGGACUGCCGGUUUAAUGCCGGAGGAAGGUGGGGAUGACGUCAAGUCCGCAUGGCCUUUAUGUCCAGGGCUACACACACGCUACAAUGGCCGAUACAAUGGGUAGCCAAGCCGCGAGGCGGAGCUAAUCCUCUAAAGUCGGCCUCAGUUCGGAUUGCAGGCUGCAACCCGCCUGCAUGAAGUCGGAGUUGCUAGUAACCGCGCGUCAGCCAUAGUGCGGUGAAUACGUUCCCGGGCCUUGUACACACCGCCCGU
rnacentral:rRNA from 1 species